UCGACCAGUGGCAAAGCGGCGAGGUUGCCGUGGUGGAUCUCCACCCGCGGGUAGCGGGCGCGCACGUGCGCGACGGUCGCCUCGUCGUAGUCCAGC
rnacentral:tRNA from 1 species